ACAUUCUAAAUGACGGAUGGACAACUAAGGGUGCUUUCACAUUAGGGACCCGGGCCCAGAUCCGAGUACACUCGUCCCCAAAGUCCAGUUCGAUUGAUUAGUGUGAUUGCUCCGUACCGUACUCGGGAACGGUUCGUCGAUCCGUACCCGAGUCCACCUGAAAAGGUGGUCUGGACUACGGAUCAUGUGUACUCAGGUACGGUUCGCAUCAAGUGUGAAAGCCAACGGUACCAAAACACGGAAGUGGACCGCUAUUUAACGCGAGUAACGUUAGCAGAUAGCGAUUACUUUUGACAGGUCAAGCUUUUUUCAACGCCGCCGGUCUCCUCCAAAAUCUGUAUACAUAAAAAAGUUUCAUAUCUAUCGAUAUCGAUCUCAUCCUCUGAACUGCACGGCUGUGGAUGAUACAGCAGGAAGGCCGGCUAGAGGUUCCUUAAAACAUAGACAAUAGGCGAUGGGGUUGAGUGAUGUUUGUUAUUUUAUUUAGCUAAUUUAAUGGUCUGUCUGCGAAGAACGAGAGACGCUCAGUUUUUCAGUGGGCAGAGAGAGAGAGACGGGGGUGCGGGGGAAACAACGUGUACAGUUGUCCUACUUUCACAUCAAACUCUAAAGACAUUAAAUAGCCUAUAUUAUCAUAUCUGUUAUGCAAAGAAAGCAAACAUAAAGCUAAAAAUUCACGAAUCUGCUGUGAAUUGCAAAGUUAAAAUGUUAAACUGUUAAAAAAAAUUUCAUUUAACUAUACAGGGAACACAUUCAACCGUAACAUAGGGCCUAUUUGAAGACAACGCAUCAAACCUGAACCUGCGUAAAACCAUUGCUUACCACACACUGCAUUAUGGAUAAUGAUUGAAUAACCUACAAUGCAUAGGCAUAAAAACAACAACCUGCAGUAGUUAAUAUCUAAUUAUAUAUUUUUUUAAUAAUAUCUAAAAAAAAAAUGCAUUAGAAGAAUAAAACCUAUAAAUAACCAUUGUUAUUUCACAAUCCAUGCUGUCCCACAUUAGGCAAAUCAUCCUGUCCCACUUUUCAAAACCAUAUUAAUUUUCCCAAGUGGGACAAUGAAAGAUUUGAUUGAAAUAACACCAUAUUAUAAUAUUUUUUGAUGAAAAAGCAUAUCAUAAACAUAUCCUGAUAACAAAAUUGUUUUAUUUAUAAGAAAUGUAUACCCUUAACAUUAAGUUUGUCUAAACAUUAUGUUACUGACCUUCUUGUUUGAAGAUUGCUACACCCUAAUCUAUGAUUGGACAUUUGAGAAGUCAUGUGAUUUUGAUCACAUGACACCACAGCUUGUAGUAACCAAUAGCUUUAUUGUCUUUUAUUUGUUUGAGGAAGACCUUAGGUCUUUUUCAUUGUGCUAACGUGUGUCCUCGUUUCCUUUCCUCGCCUCCUCUCCUCCCAUCUUAGUCCCUCAACCCACUGGAGCUUAUAGGUGUCGCACAUUAUGACAACUCACCCUACACAAACCCAUUUUUAUAAGACAUUAAUAAAAGCUUACCAUUUUGGGGAUGUUCGGAAUGUCUAAUAAUUCUCUGAAAAAUGUUAAAUAAAUAAACCAAACAUUUACUAUUAA